rnacentral:rRNA from 1 species
AAUGAUGAGGAGCUUGCUCCUCUGAUUUAGCGGCGGACGGGUGAGUAACACGUGGGUAAUCUGCCUGUAAGACGGGGAUAACUCCGGGAAANNGGGGCUAAUACCGGAUAAUAAGAGAAGAAGCAUUUCUUCUUUUUGAAAGUCGGUUUCGGCUGACACUUACAGAUGAGCCCGCGGCGCAUUAGCUAGUUGGUGAGGUAACGGCUCACCAAGGCGACGAUGCGUAGCCGACCUGAGAGGGUGAUCGGCCACACUGGGACUGAGACACGGCCCAGACUCCUACGGGAGGCAGCAGUAGGGAAUCUUCGGCAAUGGGCGAAAGCCUGACCGAGCAACGCCGCGUGAGCGAUGAAGGCCUUCGGGUCGUAAAGCUCUGUUGUUAGAGAAGAACAAGUACGAGAGUAACUGCUCGUACCUUGACGGUACCUAACCAGAAAGCCACGGCUAACUACGUGCCAGCAGCCGCGGUAAUAC